GUAGGGGGCAAGCGUUAUCCGGAUUCACUGGGUGUAAAGGGAGCGCAGGCGGCGCGGCAAGUCUGAUGUGAAAGCCCGGGGCUCAACCCUGGGAGUGCUUUUGAAACUGUGCGGCUAGAGUGUCGGAGGGGUAAGUGGAAUUCCUAGUGUAGCGGUGAAAUGCGUAGAUAUUAGGAGGAACACCAGUGGCGAAGGCGGCUUACUGGACGAUGACUGACGCUGAGGCUCGAAAGCGUGGGGAGCA
rnacentral:rRNA from 1 species